UAGGCUGCAACUCGCCUACAUGAAGUCGGAAUUGCUAGUAAUCGCGGAUCAGCAUGCCGCGGUGAAUACGUUCCCGGGCCUUGUACACACCGCCCGUCACACCAUGGGAGUCGGUAACACCCGAAGCCUGUAGUCUAACCGCAAGGGGGACGCAGUCGAAGGUGGGAUUGAUGACUGGGGUGAAGUCGUAACAAGGUAUC
rnacentral:rRNA from 1 species